AUCCCUGGAGCAGGAGAAGAAGGUGCGCAUGGACCUGGAGCGGGCAAAGCGGAAGCUGGAGGGUGACCUGAAGCUGACCCAGGAGAGCAUCAUGGACCUAGAGAAUGACAAGCAGCAGCUGGAUGAGCGACUGAAAAAGAAGGACUUUGAGCUCAAUGCACUCAAUGCCAGGAUUGAGGAUGAGCAAGCCCUGGGCAGCCAGCUACAGAAGAAGCUCAAAGAGCUUCAGGUAAGGUCUAGAAAGCCCAGGCUGGCUGCUGCAGUCCUCCAGCUGGUUCUCAGCAUUUCUGACCACUCCUCUACGAUAUCCUAUCGACGGCAUUACAGGAGCUUACUAUGUGUCCAUGAAGGGAAACACAAAGUUGUGACAGUGCCGCCAUGGAGCAUGGGGUGGGGGGCCUGCGUGAUCCAAAGAAAACUUGGGAAGAGAUCCUGAGAAUGCUCUGGGGGACAGAAACCCUGGCUUUCUGUCUCAGCUCUGCUUUAGCUAAGUGACCAAGGAGAGCCCACUCCAGAUCUCUGGGUCUCCAUGCCUUCCCUUGUCACCCGGUGACUUUUAAGGUCUCUUUAGUCACAACAACCAAUUUUUUCAUUUUUGCUGCUAGACUAGACACUGAAUUAGGUCUGUAGUUGUCUGAUCAAAGAGACACAGCUUUCUCACUUUAAUUUUUUUUUU
rnacentral:lncRNA from 1 species